UAUUGUGGGAUAUGUAAGUUUCGCAUGCACACCAGAGCAAACCAUUCAAAGAGUAUUUUUCGCAAAUAUAUUUUAGCUCUGUCUGUUACUUUUAAUGGUUCCAAAUGCCUAAAAGGAAACAAGAAAUGAUUGGAAAGACGGAUGGGCCCAUAGAAGUGAUCACGCCCAAACCAGUCGAUAAGAAAUUAACCCAAGCAUUAUCAAAGAAUCAAACUCGGAAAACGGAUCAGAAACAAAUCACUAACAUCACCAGAACGGUAAACAUAUUGAGAAAAACAGGAUCAGUUCCAGCAGCAGAUGCAGAAAAUACAUGUGAUUUGACGGAGAACAACACUGAUGAAACAGAUGGAGAAAUGAAGGAUAAAGAAGAUGCAGUAAUAACAAGUUUAUCUACUGCUUGUCCCUUCCCUGGUUGUAAGGGAUUGGGUCAUUCAACUGGAAAAUAUUCUCGCCAUAGAAGUGUAACUACCUGUCCAAUGGCAGCUAAAAAGAGGAAACAAGAGGAAUCAGGAGAAAAUGCAGAUGUUCCUGCUGCUAAAUGUAUCAAAGUGGAAAAAGUUGACACUGCUGGUGAAGUGGUGGAGCUGAUAAAGGUGAAAGUUGAGGAUGAGGAGGACAGUGGAGUAGAAUGUCUGGUUAUGAAGACAUCUGAGAAUGCUUUGAAGUCUAAUAUGAUGAGAAAGCCAGCAGUGGAAUUGAUAGAUGUAGAACAGCAGUGUUUUAAGGAGGCAGAAAAGGCUCUACGGAGUCUUUCUGGUGAGAUGGACAGCGAUGUGGUGAUUGAACACACAAGUAAUAACAGUGAGGUUAAAGAAGAACAUGGUAGUGAUGGGGAGGUUGAGAAGAAUGUUACUAGGGGAACAAACUCGGAAGACACGUGUGUGAUCACAAAGGUGAUAACAGCUCCUAAACCUGAUAUUGUGGAGAUUAAAGUGGAGAAACCAGACAAACCGACAAUUUUGUCACAACCUUCAGGCAAGCAGGAUGGCUUGCCUAGUGUUACAGUGUUAUCUCAAGGAAAGUCAGCAAGUCAGGAGGAAAUUCUUAUUAAAAUUGAAGAACAGUGUGCUACAAUUCAGUCAGGACAGGCCCCCACUACACAAACAAAUGUGACAGACACUAAAGUAGAGGCUGGGUCUACUGUACAAACUGUAUCCACCUCUAAAGCUACCGGUAUUCCUCUACCAAUGUCUCUGAUCAGUAACCUCAGUCAGAUCCAAGCUGCUGCUGCAGCUCUCAUCCCCAAAGAGGAAGACGAUGAUGAUGAGGAAGAUGGACAGUUCCAAGUUGUGGCUGAGUGGAGUGCAUCUGCUGAAACAGCCACCAACUCUGUGACUGGUACAAAAUCCGAGGCACUCGAUAUCAAGCCAAUGUUGGCACCAGAUGAAAUCAAAGAUAAAGAUGUGAAGUGUCCUACUCCAGGAUGUGAUGGUACAGGUCAUGUGACUGGUCUCUAUUCUCAUCACAGAAGCUUAUCGGGUUGCCCCAGGAAGAGUAUGGCUCCUCCAGAAGUUGUUGCCUUGCAUGAAAGCCUUGCCAGUAGGUGCCCCACACCUGGAUGUACAGGGAAAGGUCACAUCAAUAGUACCAGGAGCACACACAGAAGUCUCUCAGGCUGUCCAAUUGCUGCCAUGGGCAAACUAGUCAGUUCCACUCAGGCAAAUGCCAGAAAAUCGGGGCUCCAUCUUGUUCUGCUCCCCAAAGAAGACGACCCAUCCAAGGCGGUACUUGCCACAUGCAAUGAAAAAGAGCUCAUCCGAUUGGCUGCUCAGAAGUGCAAAUUGUCUGACAAAUCAAUGAGUAGCUUGGCCGGACUAUCUGCCUCGGAGACAGACAGGGUGUUGCGGCCAAUGAUACUUACAAAACAGCUGGAGCUUCAGAGCAUUGACUCUGUUGUGUCAACAUCCACGCCAAGGGGCAAUCUGGCCAAGGAAUUGGAGAAGUAUAACCGUCCAGAACUACAGGGGGCACCAGCAUCCUCUGUCGCCACACCCAUUUCAGCACAGACACUGGUCACUACCCCUGUGGAACAGUCCAGUCCUCCAGAACGCUCCACUACACCCCCACUUCCACCUGCCAAACCCAAGGUCAUGAAACGUGACUCUGACCGUCCUAAUAUCCUCCGACGACCAAGUUUAAAGCCUCAGAAUAGAUCAUCCUCAUCAAGCAGUAGUGUGUCAUCUCAGUCAUCAGCAAACAGCCUCUCCAGGAGUUCAUCCAGCACCUCACUUGAAGGAAGUGACUUCAUGAACAGUGUUAGUGAUCUUCUUGGCAGGAAAAAGGUGCCCCCUGGUGGGGCAUCGUCGUCUGUGGCGUUUACCAGGUGUGGGGACUUAAAUGCUGACAGAUUAUCAGGGGAGGCCGCUUGUAGUCCAGUAGACCAUGACAACGAACCUCGUUCUGAAAGUCCAGACUUGUUCAAGAUCAAGAUGGAAAAUAAAGAAAGCCUUCAAUGUCCCACUGUUGGAUGUGAUGGAUCGGGACACAUAACGGGGAAUUACUCCUCCCACAGAAGCCUAUCGGGGUGUCCAUUAGCUGAUAGAGCCACGGUACAAGCCAAUCAGAUUGAAUUAAAAUGUCCCACGCCGGGCUGUGACGGGUCUGGUCAUGUGACCGGCAACUACGCUUCCCACCGCAGUCUGUCCGGCUGUCCGCGGGCAGCCAAGCUGAAAAAGAUCCUGGGUAAGGAAGGUGACAGGAAGGAGGAUGAGCCACUCAGAUGUCCGAUCCCAGGGUGUGAUGGGACGGGUCAUGUGACCGGAAAAUAUUUGUCUCAUCGCAGUGCCUCUGGGUGCCCCCUUGCCAACAAACACAAACUACAGAGACAGCUGUUGGCCAGCUUGGAUGGCCAAGAUCCCGAGUUAGCCAAGUCACUCAAAAUGGAUGGUGUUGUGUGCCCCACCCCUGGAUGUGAUGGAUCUGGACAUGCUAACGGUAGCUUCCUGUCCCAUCGCAGUCUUUCUGGCUGUCCCAGAGCCACCCAAGCAAUGAAAAAAGCCAAACUUAGUCCAGCAGAGCUAACCACCCUCCAUAUGAAACUCCAGAAUGGGGAAGAUUUAGAGGAUGAUGAAGAAUUUCAGCAGAUGGACGAGGAAAUAUCAGAACUGCGGACCUCUAAUAUGGCUAUUGAGUCAACAGUGAUCAAAUUGAGAUCAGAGGUGUCGAGUCUUGAGAACCAGGUUCAUCAGGAGGAGAAAGAAAAUUCAGCCAUUGCUCAGCAGAAUGAAAAUCUACAAACCUACCUCAACACACUGAAGAAAGAAAUUCUAGGGGUGCUAGCUAGUCGGAAUAUACCGCAUCUCAACCCAAGCUUAGUUAAUGAGGACAAUCUAGAGGCGUGCAUCAGUCAGCUACAGAGCAUAUAUGCCAGCCGCUCAGGGGAUAGCAGUGUAUUUUAUAACACUGUUAACAUUGCUGUCUCAGAAAUACAGGUGGCUUAGUCUAUAACAAUGUCAACAUUGAUGUCUCAGAAACAGGUUACACAGUCUAUAACACUGUCAACAUUGAUGUCUCAGAAACACAGGUUACACAGUCUAUAACAAUGUCAACAUUGAUGUCUCAGAAACACAGGUUACACAGUCUAUAACAAUGUCAACAUUGAUGUCUCAGAAACACAGGUUACACAGUCUAUAACACUGUCAACAUUGAUGUCUCAGAAACAGGUUACACAGUCUAUAACACUGUCAACAUUGAUGUCUCAGAAACAGGUUACACAGUCUAUAACAAUGUCAACAUUGAUGUCUGAGAAACACAGGUUACACAGUCUAUAACACUGUCAACAUUGAUGUCUCAGAAACAGGUUACACGGUCUAUAACACUGUCAACAUUGAUGUCUCAGAAACAGGUUACACAGUCUAUAACACUGUCAACAUUGAUGUCUCAGAAACAGGUUACACAGUCUAUAACACUGUCAACAUUGAUGUCUCAGAAAUACAGGUUACACGGUCUAUAACACUGUCAACAUUGAUGUCUCAGAAACACAGGUUACACAGUCUAUAACACUGUCAACAUGGAUGUCUCAGAAACAGGUUACACCGUCUAUAACAAUGUCAACAUUGCUGUCUCAGAAACAGGUUACACAGUCUAUAACACUGUCAACAUUGAUGUCUCAGAAACAGGUUACACCGUCUAUAACAAUGUCAACAUUGAUGUCUCUGAAACAGGUUACACCGUCUAUAACAAUGUCAACAUUGAUGUCUCAGAAACACAGGUUACACAGUCUAUAACACUGUCAACAUUGAUGUCUCAGAAACACAGAUUACACAGUCUAUAACACUGUCAACAUUGAUGUCUCAGAAACACCGGUUACACCGUCUAUAACAAUGUCAACAUUGAUGUCCCAGAAACAGCGGUUACACUGUCUAUAACACUGUCAACAUUGAUGUCUCAUGAAAAGGUUACACAGUCUAUAACACUGUUAACAUUGAUGUCUCAGAAACACAGGUUACACUGUCUAUAACAAUGUCAACAUUGAUGUUGUCUCAGAAACACAGGUUACACAGUCUAUAACACUGUCAACAUUGAUGUCUCAGAAACACAGGUUACACAGUCUAUAACACUGUCAACAUUGAUGUCUCAGAAACACAGGUUACACGGUCUAUAACACUGUCAACAUUGAUGUCUCAGAAACACAGGUUACACAGUCUAUAACACUGUCAACAUUGAUGUCUCAGAAACACAGGUUACACAGUCUAUAACAAUGUCAACAUUGAUGUCUCAGAAACACAGGUUACACAGUCUAUAACACUGUCAACAUUGAUGUUUAAAAAAUACAAAUGGCUUCCUCCUCUCAUAUUUUCAACACACUGUCAACAUUGCUUCACAGUGACUUUGAUUUGUGACUUGUACAAGUAAAUUCUUGGUUAUCUAGCCAUACCAGAAAUACUGCUCUGAGCUUGAGUACCCUAUCUUUAAGUUAGGAUUCAGUAGUAUUCUAGAAAAUAUAGUCUUUAAGGCAAGAUCACCUAUAGCUCUGAGAAAUAUAGCCUGUAAUGUAAGAUCAUGUAUUUUCUCAGAAAUAAAGUCUUCAAAGUUGUCACAGGAACAAUAUAGCUAAGCCUGUUUCACCACAUGGUUUUAGAAUAGGUCACAAAUAGAUGGCAGUGUUUGAUGACAAAGUGAGAAAGUAGCAUAAGGAGUAUGAAGUAAGAUAAAACACUGACAAUAUAUUCAAGAUUCUUUCAGUACCUCAUCAGUAAGUGCUGACAUUCCACCAUUCACCCAUGUCCACUUAAAUUAUUAUCAAUUUAUAAAUGGCAGAUGAAAAGAGUACAGUCAGAUAUGUAAGAGGUUUGUUGAUUUAUAACUACAUUGUUAACUUGAUUGUACAGAAUACAUUGAUAGUGGUGCUUCAUCAUAAUGAUGAUUUUGUGAUACCUUUCUCGCCAUUCAGGCCAACUGUAGUAAAGGGACAUAACUCAAGUACAUUUGUCGUUGUGAUCAAGGGAGAUAACCCAUAAUUCUGGUCAUGCUACAUGUAUAUGACAGCUUCAUUCAUAUUGUUAAUCUUUUCAUUUGAUCCAUACAUCUGCACAUUCACCUCAAAACUUAGAUAACAUCUCGAGAACCUAUGUCAUAACUCUUACCAGGUAACAAAUGGUCACAAGUCCACAAUAAUCCUCUCUUUUUCACAUUUAUCAUCCUCAAAAGCAAAUAUUCUGACUAUCUCACACACUGUCUUAAGAAAUAUCUCAACCAUCAUUCAUAUAAAUCUGAAGGUGCAAUUUAUGAUUUUUUUUUGUUAUUUACUUAUUUAUUUACUUUGAUGGACGUCAAAAGAAGGCACAUCCUGAUCAUGUUUUUUCUCUCUUUUUGAAGUUGGUGACUGUUCUAUUUUAGGUCUAUUUAUUAUUGUAUUGUCUUAUUUAUUAGGUGUUGUGUUCUUGUUGUUGUUAUUUAUAUUCCACACAUAUCAAUGAUAGUAAAAAUAGAUACUUUUAUUUAGUCAAUUUUAUGAUAAACAUAUGUGCUUUCAACUGGUUUCCUUGUAGUAUUGUUAGAUAGUGAAUAUGAUUUACUGCUUGCUAUAAUUUUACCGGACAUGUCAAUUUUUCAAAAUCAAGGGAGGCAGAUUGUUCAACAUUUGAAAGGGGUCAAUCAAAUAAUAAUUUUUACGUUGUGCAUAAAUUCUCAGAUCAACCUCUUAACAAAUAACAGCGUCAAAGUUGUAUAAUCUUAGUUGACCUAAGGUUAGCCUUUGAAUGAUCUUGAGAUAAGCCUUGAUAUUGAUAUUGACCUUGAGCUUAAUAUUGACCUUGACAAUGUCUACCAUUAUUGAUUUUGUUUGAUUUAGCUUGUUAAUGUUUUAGUUGUAUGGGAUAAUUUAUUCGGUUACUGAUGUAGCCUGUCAGCCCUUUUGCUGUGUAUUUUCGCCUUAGUUUGGUGUUUUACAUUUUCAUAUCAUUUGUAUUAUUGUAUGUGUGUACUUGCCACCUGUUACCUUAUCAAUGUAAGACUGGUGGAAUUGUUUAAAAGUUUGUGGUGAAAUGAGAAGUAUCUUUCCAACCAAAUUGAUGUUUCUUUUACAGAAUAUUCCUCUUGAGGUUAAAAAACAUUAAUUUAAGUUUUAAAACUCCCACUUCAUUACAGAUGUUACCUCAAUGAAUCCAAAUAAUUCCUUAUUUGUUAGGGCAGGGUUAGCCCAAAUCAUUCCUUUGUUAUAGCAGGGUUAGCCCAAAUUAUUCCUUUGUUAUAGCAGGGUUAGCUCAAAUCAUUCCUUUGUUAUAGCAGGGUUAGCCCAAAUCAUUCCUUUGUUAUAGCAGGGUUAGUCCAAAUCAUUCCUUUGUUAUAGCAGGGUUAGCCCAAAUCAUUCCUUCUUUGUUAUAGCAGGGUUAGCCCAAAUCAUUCCUUUGUUAUAGCAGGGUUAGCCCAAAUCAUUCCUUUGUUAGAACAGGGUUAGCCCAAAUUAUUCCUUUGUUAGAACAGGGUUAGCCCAAAUUAUUCCUUUGUUAUAGCAGGGUUAGCCCAAAUCAUUCCUUUGUUAGAACAGGGUUAGCCCAAAUCAUUCCUUUGUUAUAGCAGGGUUACCCCAAAUCAUUUCUUCUUUGUUAUAGCAGGGAUAGUCCAUUUUUGUUAUAGCAGAGUUUAUCACAUGGGCAAACCAAAGUGAGCUUUAUGUGGUGGCCUGUUUCAGGUCCAUCAUUCAAUUUUCUUUUAAAACAGGCUUCUAAUCCAGAAGAUAAGAUGACUCCACGUUGUAUGAAAUAAUAAGUUUUGGGGAAGCGGCUGAUAAUGAGCUUUGCAUAAACAAAUGGUACAAAUAUGCAUAUAAAUGAAGUUUCAUCAUCAAUAGUCUUGGUGGUAUAAGCUAUAUCCAAUGUUAUAAAACGGUAAACCUCCGAUUAAUUCGAACACGCGGAUAGUUCAAACACACAUUUUUUUCUAGAAAAACAAUAAUUUUUUAGCUAUAGUAAUAGUUUGAACUCUGGCUGUUUAUAACUGACACCAUUUCGGAUAGUCAAAUGAAGAACGUAAAGUAAGAUUUUUUCCCGGCAAACUCCAUUGAAAGCUCGCGACGCGAACUAACCGGAGGUUUACUGUAAGAUUAUUUUGAUAAAUUUCUCCAUGAAGAUCUUGCACUAAAUCUUUAUUGUGUGAGCUACACAUUCUGUGUAUUGAUUUCUGCCGUAUUUAUUAUGGAAUUGCAUAUUCAUCCAUGUGCUAAAUCUCUUAAAAUGUGACAAUGCACUUUGAGUGUGCCAAAAUGAGUAUACAUAUGUCUAAAAGUUACACAGAAGGCCUACAUUUUCAUGUUCUUAUUCUCCUAUUCUAACCAAAGUGUUUCAUGACCUUGACAAGAAUAUAUUUUCAAACUAAAUAAAUAUCUAUAAUGUCCACCCUGGAAUCCUGAUAAGUGAAACUUUUCACAGGUAAUUAUUAUGGAGUCAAUUCUGGUAAAAAUUUAAUAGGGCAAGUGAUACUUGCAUUGUGGGACUCUUGUUAAACGGGCUGAGUUGCAAACAUUCCACUUUAUUAACAGUAUUCUGCAAUGUUUUAUAAUGUUUCUGUAUUUAAGUUUUUACCCCAAGAAAAAAUUUGUUCACUGUUACUUUGGAAUCAUCUUUGAAAACUUUUCCAUAACAUUAUACACGUUUCUUAAUGCAUGGAACUAACAUGUGAAGGACAAUUGUACAUACAGUAUUCAUAUGAUAUAAAGAUUCCCGCCAUGUUUUUCAAAUUGAAAAUUUUACAUACCUCAGAAUUGAAAGACUUAUUUUUGGUAUGUAAGAAAAAUGUAUGAUUAAUCUUUUCAUAAAUAUCAAAAAAUCAUUUACAUUAUCCUAUUCAAUCAUAAAAAUCGAAAUUGUUUAAUUUUUUCAUCAAAUAAUUCUGAGACUUGUAUGAUAGUUUUGUAUUAGUGUAAAUUGCCACUAAAACUGCUGUUCCAAGUGAACUACAUUAUGUCUGGUAUAGUAGGUCAGUUGUGUGGUGCAAACUGAGCUGGUCCCUUUCUAGAAGCCUUACAAACUUGCCUUAAAUUUUGAUACUGACCUUGUAGAUAUUGAUCACUGAAGGCCAAAGCAAUUUUCCAGAUUUCCCUUAUUGUCAUUUCCUUUUUAAAAUGAUCACAGCAAAUCUACUGAGCAAAAACAUAGCGUGUUGUUAAAACUUGAGCCAGAAUAAACAAUAAGUGUUACCAGUAGUUCCAUCCAGUCCAUGUUUUAUUCAUUGUCAUUUCAUCUCCCAAGUAUAGUGUGUACAGUUCCCUUUAAAUUAUAAGUCAAACAUGUGGGUAUUCAAACAUGAAUACAUAUGUAUAUACACACACCAUUUUGAAAUGUGUAAAAUACAUAUAUGGUCAUCACAUCAAGAUGGCUGGAUAAUUUAUGUUAUUUAUUUAUAAAUCCACAUGUUUUAGAUGAAGAUUAAAUGUGUAAAUGAGUGAAAGUUGCUUCAUAUAUAUUUAUUGUAAAUAGUAUUUGCUCCCAGCGACGACUGUUACGAGAUAUAAGUUAUAGGAGAGUGAUCAAUGUGUGCUGCAGUUGUCUCCCCUUGCUAAGGCUUUGUAACUUAGCAUGCCUCAGAUAUGUUCUUGUAAACCAGGUAAACAGUGUUGUGUCAGAAAUGUGCAAUAUUUUAUAUAAUUGUAAUAAAUGCUUUACAUUUUCAAA